rnacentral:lncRNA from 1 species
ACUAACAUGCUUCACCGUAGGGAUGGUGCCAGGUUUUUCUCCAAACUUGACGCUUGGCAUUCAUGCCAAAGAGUUCAGUCUUGGUUUCACCAGACCAGAGAAUCUUGUUUCUCAUGGUCUGAGAAUCCUUUAGGUGCCUUUUGGCAAACUCCAUGAGGGCUGUCAUGUGCCUUAUACUUAGGAGUGGCUUCUGUCUGGCCACUACCAUAAAGGCCUGAUUGGUGGAGUGCUGCAGAAAUAGUUGUCCUUCUGGAAGGUUCUCUCAUCCCCACAGAGGAUCUCUGGAUCUCUCAGAGUGACCAUCGGCUUCUUGGUCACCUCCCUGACCAAGGUCCUUCUCCCCCGAAUGCUCAAUUUGGCCACACAUGCUUUCUGAAUGCACUGUAUACGUAUGUAUUGCGAUUCGAUGCUGUGAUUGUAUUGCGAUCCGAUUUUCCAAACAUAUUGCUCACCAUAUGUCUGCCGCAGAGGGUCAAGAGAGAGCCAUGAGAAAAUGAAUUUCGAGGUGUAAUAGAAAUAAACGUGCUGAAAUUAAUUGUCUCCCUAUUUUUUUUAAAGAUGGUGUCACGUACUGACCAGUAUAAGGGGUUAUUUGUUAUUGUAGUUUGGUCAGGACGUGGCAGGGGUGUGUUUGUUUAGAGUGUUUCGGGGUUUGUUGGGCUAUGUUCUGUUUUAAGAGGGGUGUUUGUUUAGAGUGUUUCGGGGUUUGUUGGGCUAUGUUCUGUUUUGAGAGGGGUGGUUGUUUAGAGUGUUUAGGGGUUUGUUGGGUUAUAUUCUAGUAUGUCUAUUUCUAUGUGGUGUUUGUUGGGUUGACCUUCAAUUGGAAGCAGCUGCUCCUAGUUGCUUCUAAUUGAAGGUCCUAUUUAAGAGGGGGGUGUUUUCUAUGGGAUUUUGUGGGUUGUUGUUUCCUGUUUAGCUGUGUGCCUGACAAGACUGUUAUCGUCGUUGUUUUUGUAUACGUGUGUUUUGUUUCGGUUUUCCUUCUUUCUGCCUAUUAAAAAGAAGAUGAGUAUACACAUUCCCGCUGCGUUUUCGUCUAAUCCUUACGACACCCGUGACAGAUGGAGAACAAGCUAUGAAGGAAC